AGUCACAGUGGAGGAGCAAGACUGACGAUGCAUUGGGUGUGGACACCAUGCAUAGUCAAAGGUCUAAGAGCAAUAUGUGAACUGGGAUGGGCACCCACACCUUGCCAGUUGGCAGCAUGAGGUGUUUUGUAGCAACAUCAGUUACUGACGCACAUUUUUACCUUGAGCUGAUACCAGCUGUUCCUCUGUCUGGCAGCCUUGAAACCUUGGAAACACUACCACCUUCCCUCUACCUGUGGAUCGAUUUUGCACUGGCCGCUCCCAGAGCAGCAGGAGGUGCUGUUUCCUGGUGAUGAUGGCAGAACCUCAGUGGCCUGGAUGGACAGAGCUUACUGCAGAGGUCAGCAGCAAUAAGAUCCAAGAAAUCAAACUACGCCCAGUGCUGAGAAAGAGUCAACAUCCUCCUCACUGCUGCUUGGCCAAGUGGCACAGAGUGAACUCGCUGCACAUUGGCCAGAGUCUGGAACUUGUCACUGAAUGGAGCUACACAUAAGAAAAUCUUGACCAAAGAUGUGGUCGCUGACACAAAUUAGAUUUGGCACAAUAGAUUUUUUUUUAAAGUUUGGACAAUAGAUUUUUGAUUUUAUUGUCACGUGUAUUUCACAGUAAGAGUAGAAUAAAAUACAGUCAAAAGCUUUCAUUUGUCGCCAGGAUAUGGCACCAUUUUGAAUAAUUUCAGAAUAAGGAAGAAAAUAAAGAUAUAGCUUGAAGAUCCUUUCCUGAACCACUCGCCACCACUUUGCUGCCAUCUACACAGGACCCAACCAAUGUCAAAGACACCAAUCCCCAGAGCUGAUUCUCCUCUGCCAUCGUCUCGCUACCCCCUGCACUGGACCCACCAUCAUCAGCGUGUCUCUUGCUGCUGGGUCCACCUCAUUGUUGUUGUCGUGAUGCCCUUCCAUCAACGUUUCGCUGCGCCAGCACCAGACCCAACCAACAAUGAAGUUGCUGAUCCUCAUGCACCAUAGGCCGCUGGGCCUAUCUCACCCACAUCAUACCAGACAUGUGAAACAGGUGGCUCACACACAUAAACACCUUGUCUACAGUAACAGUCUUGGCAAUGGUCAUCAGGCCAGUUUGGAGGGGGGCUGGGGGAAGCAGAGGGUGAAUGCUGUUCAUCCUGCCUGAGGAAUACAGCAGAUCACACCUGUUUUGGCACAAACCUAGAGGAAGCCCCAUACUGAGGUUAGGGUAUGUUGUACAGAGGAGGUCUACCCGCUCUGAGAACUAACACCAAAACACCCAAAGAGGAGCACCUCGCCCUAUAAUCUGUAAAAGGAGCAUGAAAAGUGGUGUAACCUACCUUUCAGCAACUUCUAGUGGACUAAUCAAAUAAAUUCUCAACACUUACUUUACAA